UACACAUGCCAAUUCUACUCAUAUUUCACUGGCAAGACCAAAUUACACGACCAAGACUGACAUUAACCUGGCAAAAUGACUGAAGGCCAGAGAAAAUUCACAAGCUUUCCAAGGAUAUACCCCAAUAUCCUGUAUCUUCAUCACACUAGAUUCCAAUGACAGCCUUCCAGUGUACUAUUUUCAUGAUUCAGAUCUUCUAGAAAACAGCAAGCCAAUUUCUAAAUUCCACAUGUUUAUAACUGCU